GAUGAACGCUGGCGGCGUGCUUAACACAUGCAAGUCGAACGAACGGACGAGGAGUUUGCGCUUCUGCUGUUAGCGGCGGAGGGGUGAGGAACGCGUGGAUAAUCUCCCUAUAAGACUGGGAUAACUUCGAGAAACCGGCGCUAAUACCGGAUGAUAUUUUGAACCGCAUGGUUCAAAAGAGAAAGUCGGUCUUGCUGUCACUAAUAGAUGGAUCCCGGCUGCAUUGUCUAGUUGGCAAGCUAACGGCUUACCAAGGCAACGAUGCAUAGCCGACGUCAGAGGGUCGUCGGCUACCCGGGAACUGAGACAGGCUCCUGACUCCUGCGGUAGGACGCAGUAGGGAAUCUUACGCAAGGGAGGAGAGCGUGACGGAGCAACGCCGCGUGAGUUAUGAAGGUGUUCCGAUCGUAAAGCUCUGUUAUUAGUGAUGAACAUAUGUUUACGUAACUGUGCACAACUUGACGGUACCUAAUCAGAAAGCCCCGGCUAACUACGUG
rnacentral:rRNA from 1 species